rnacentral:rRNA from 1 species
UGAGGAAUAUUGGUCAAUGGGCGCAAGCCUGAACCAGCCAUCCCGCGUGCAGGAAGACGGCCCUAUGGGUUGUAAACUGCUUUUCCAGGGGGAGAAUUUUUCUGUCGUGACAGGAAUUGACGGUACCCUGGGAAUAAGCAUCGGCUAACUCCGUGCCAGCAGCCGCGGUAAUACGGAGGAUGCGAGCGUUAUCCGGAUUUAUUGGGUUUAAAGGGUGCGUAGGCGGAUUGAUAAGUCAGUGGUGAAAACCUGCAGCUUAACUGUAGACUUGCCGUUGAUACUGUCGGUCUUGAGUGUGGUCAAGGUAGGCGGAAUGUGUAAUGUAGCGGUGAAAUGCUUAGAUAUUACACAGAACACCGAUUGCGAAGGCAGCUCACUGGGCCAUUACUGACGCUGAUGCACGAAAGCGUGGGGAUCGAACA